rnacentral:lncRNA from 1 species
GUGGAGAUGUCCUUUCAUCUGAGGAGCUCAUAUCCAUGUCCUGUAACCACCAGAGACCCACUUCCUUUAAGAAAGACAUGGUAUGUCAAUGGCAUGCCAAAGGGGUCAACCUAGACACAAUAAUCGUAAAUACCAAAUUACCUUCCCUCCCCAGACACCAGCUGACUGUAAUUCUCCAGUAUCACGUCUGCACACACAGUCCUCUGAGCAGUGUCCAAGUGCCACUGCUGCCAGGUGAAGUCCUCAGUCUCAUCCUCCAAUGUCACUGGUCCCUGCAUCAACACAUGAUGGCCC